UCCCUGUUGGUUCAGUGGUUAGGACUCAGCACUUUCACUGCUGAGGGCCCAGGUUCGAUCCCUGGUGGGGGAA